GCCGGGGUGGCGGAACUGGUAGACGCGCCGGACUCAAAAUCCGGUGAGAUUUAUCUCAUGAGAGUUCGAGUCUCUCCCUCGGCACCA
rnacentral:tRNA from 1 species